AAGGAAGUGUAGGGGGAAGUUAGAAAGGAAAAGAAGGGUAGACAGCCCUGCAGGAGUCACGUCUUUGUUUCAAAAGCCACUCAUUAAAGAUAAAUAUCUGUGUGCACAGACCCCCGCAUCUUUUCACUGCCUCCCUCUUUGUCCUCGACCCAGUCACAUCCAUCCUGUAUUACCCCGCCGCCCCAUAUUGUUGCCCUCUCCUCCUCCUCCACUCCUCCCCUCUCCGCAGGUCUGCCAGAAUAACAGCAGCUGAUGAUGAGCUCGACUGAACUCAGAGCAGAGCGCUGCGCAGUCGGACUGAAUUCACCUCUUUUCUUGAUUUUUUUGUUUUGGUCUUUUUUGCUUUUGUGUGUUGUUUAGGUGGCGGCUGUGUGGGUGUUUGCAUGUGUGUGCGCUCCACCAGCCCCCACAGCAGUGUGAGAGGAGGAGACAACUGUAAACGGGAGCGAUGUUGUUUCUCCCUCCCUUCUCCUUUCCUUCUCCCUUUUGCUCUCUCUCUCUCGUUCUCAUGCUCCUUCUCCUUCAUUGCCACGGCCAUCAGGACCUGUCCUCCCUCUCUCGCUAUCACUCUGCUUGGUUAUGCAAUGCACAGUCCUCCUACAGUGACUAACUGGUGUUGGAGACCUACCGUAACACUGCUGUCACUGGUGGUCGGUGUAGACCCAUACUGUCGUAGCGACUGUCUAGCGCUCCGGCAGCCUUUGCCUCUCGACAGACGCCAGCUCAAUGGGAUUUUACAGCUUUUCCUGUUCUUCUGGAAUAUCAUCUGCCAGACUAUGCUAAUUCGGGGACCUGCCCGUUUCUGCCUAGCUCUGUGGAGGCUGGGUAUCACCGAGACACUAUCAGCUCUUUCUGCAGACAUAAUCACGCACAGUGUUACAGGGGCUUCAGUGAGGGACAAGGAGCCUUUUUGAGAGCCAUAAAUUGCACUGUUUCCUAAAGGAGUAAACAAAGCAAGAGGGGGUGUGCUUACUUAAGGAUAAGCUGUGGAGAAAGGUGAAGUUGUGUGAAGGAGUUUAGGCAAAGCGGUGACAGGGAACUCAAGUGAGGCAGCAGACAUAUAGGAUGGGAGGAAUGGUAGGGAGGCAGGAGGGAGCAAAUAAGGAGAGGGGUUCUCUUCGCCCCCUCAAGAGAGGCUGCUAGUGCUUUAGCAGCAGCAAUGCAAACCUGCCGAUAAAAACACUGACUGCAAAGACCUGCGAGGACUAACUAAAUCAAAAAGGAAGUUGAGGGGGUGGGGGGCUGCUAAACUGAAAGGUGGCGCUGUAGACUUAAGGACUGAAGAAGUGAUACGAGGAGGUUUUCACUGGAAGCAUCGCUGAGCAUCGCAAAGCUGCCGUGGAACCACUGCCUUCUAUUCCUCUCUUCGUCACUUGGUCUGUCGCUCACAGUCGCCGGGACCGUGGCUACAUACCCAGCCUCUCCCUCUUUUACUCUGGGUCUCAACAUGUAGAAUGCCCUCAAAGCCAUGGGUUGUUUUUGUGAGGACCAAAAAAGCAUGCCGGAUGAUGUUGUCUUACACCUUAGAUGCCUUAGGAUAAGUGUCCCCUUGCCCAGCUAGGUGAGCAUCAGGAUCAUGGGCACCACAGUCAUCACCCUUGAUGAUGUGCGGGCACUGGAGGUCAAGGAGGAGCAGGAGGAGUCCAUCUUGGCUAUGUUAGGCAUUAUUGGCACAUUUCUGAACCUUUUCGUAAUUGUUUUUGUUUACAUAUACACAACACUGUGAAGUGCCAAAGCAGAAGAUACAGCAUUUCUAAAACCCGGUCAUCAGCUAAUACUUCUGCAAGAAAGGCUGAAGUGAGCAGCAGGGAAGAGGGUGUUAACUAGAGAGCAACACGUGUUGGGGUAAGAAGUUUGACAUGGACAUCUUCCUAAGAGAGAGGAGAAAACUGGACAGACUGGCUAAGGAUGAAGAUGAAGAAGCCAUAUGGCCAAGUCACAGCCAUGAGCCGGGGAGAUAACGAAGGGCUGGAAGACAUGGCAGCAAAAAGACUGUGCUGGAACCAGGGUGAGCAGAGCCAGAUGGACACUAGAAAGUCUCCAGCGACUGACUUCUCUGUGGCCUGAUAGGAAACAUAAACUUUCUCUUAUGAUCUGAUUUUCUGGGACUACUGGACUAAUUGGAAAGAUGGCCAACACUGAUGUUUUUCCAUUUAUUUCUACUUAAUUUAAAAACUGGUGUGACAGUAAUUGCUACUUGCCUUGGAGGGCUUUUAAGCAACAUGAUUAAAAGCAGAGCCUUUAAAAAGUAUGUGAGUAAACUGCUUUGGAGACACUGUUGGCCACCAAUCAGUCUUCAGGGCCCUUGUCAAACAGUACUCUUCCCAGCAAUGUGGCUGUGCUGUUUUGUCUUUUCCUAAGAGACCGCCAGUUUCAUAAAUGCCCUCAUCACACAACCAUUAACAUUUAUUUUAAGAAAAUACAUACACUCAACACUAUGCUGAGAAUGGAUUUCUAGAAAUGCUCCUUCAAGAAACCUUCAAAAUGUGAAAUAUUUUUAUAGAAACAGGUCUGUUACAGCGGCAAGAAACAAACGAAGUAGACCAACUUGUAAUUACAUAAUGUAGCUUGCUGACUUGUGAGAUGAAACUGGCCCUAUCCUCUACUUUCUUUUUCUGCACCUCUGUCCACUUUUUGAUGUCUGGGAGUGGGUAGGGGCUGAAAGAUUCUCUUCAUUUAUUUGGCCGUGUUAAUUUCAGGGUAGUGAUAGUGACUCUUUUGCUGUAAUAAAAAUGUUUUUAUAAACAUUUGAAUAAAAUCUAGAUGUACUGUGCAAUAGCAUACAUUUGAAAAAUAAACAGAUCAUAUGGAUAAGA